ensembl:lncRNA
GUAACAGUCAGAGAAGCCUUACACAAUCGAAAUGCUCCCCAGAGCCCGUGUCAGUGUAACACACCACACGGUGCUGCCUAUGGGGAUGGGUACAACAAAGCCACUGCUGCGACGGCCGUGGCUCUGCUCAGGUCCAUUGCAAAAGUGUGGGUACUUGGAGCAAGCAGGCUGCCGCAGCACCCCAAAGCCUCACCCAGCUUUUCAUUGACUACGCUGCUGACACAGCAGCCGUUGUCCAAGAGGAUGGGUUAUCUGAGGACAUUCUGAGACAGCAGCUCAUGUAUGUGGACAUUCAGGACACGUUCUCCAUCACUAAUUCCCCCCAGAUGAAACUCAUUGAGUUCCUGACUGAGUUCAGGGUGGAUGAGGAGCUUCUCCGGCGCUCCCAGAAGAAGCGGUACGGUCCCAUCAACGCUGUAAAAAUAGAGCCUUCUCAGUGGGAUCGCUGCUUCAGGCCGGUCCUUGUGAGCCUGUGGGCACCUGGCAGAAGUAGGAUGAGUGCUGCUGUGUGCAGAGCUCACAGAUGGUGUGCUGGCACUAAGCCCUGUGAAAGGUGUGUUCGGGGCUCCCGCCUGAGGCCUGCUUGGAGUGCCCUAGGCCAGCCCCCACCAAGUGCGCGCCCCUGGAUGCUGCGGGGGAUACGUGUGCUGUCUGCUGAGCGGAUCCGGACUAUCAGGUUGUACACAGCUUUUGCAAAGCCUCCUUUUCCAAAACUGACACUUCCUGAUCUAUCGGCUUUGAUGUCUUUGGCAGCAGCUGGGGAGUUGUGCGUCUCAGCGGUCAAAGUUUUGCGAGACAGCGCUGACCGCACUGCCUUCGGAUGCCGUCCCAUCCGUUUUCAUUUAGGGAGGAUCCAUUCACUCCACGUCCCUCACUAUCGGCAGAUGCAGGAGGGCUGCUUUUUGGGAGGCAACAGCUUUUAGGGUCGUUUCCCUGCAGCCGCUUCGGACAAAGCCACCCUGGUCAGGUGCUCCCGUCCUCUUGCAGAUGCCACGGGACUGCCGAGCUCACCGCAGCCCGACAACCCAAGCGGGAAGCGGAGAGGAGCAAUGCCCUGCCCUGGCUCUGGAGGCU